GACAGAGGGUGCAAACGUUUGUUCGGAAUUACUGGGCGUAAAGCGCAUGUAGGCGGCCAAGCAGGUUGGAUGUGAAAUCCCUCGGCUCAACUGAGGAAGUGCGCCCGAAACUGCAGAGCUUGAGUGCCGGAGAGGGUGGCGGAAUUCCCCAAGUAGAGGUGAAAUUCGUAGAUAUGGGGAGGAACACCGGUGGCGAAGGCGGCCACCUGGACGGUAACUGACGCUGAGACGCGAAAGCGUGGGGAGCGAUCCGG
rnacentral:rRNA from 1 species